rnacentral:rRNA from 1 species
ACGCUCGACACCACGGGGGGCAGCAGUGGGGAAUAUUGCACAAUGGGGGAAACCCUGAUGCAGCGACGCCGCGUGAAGGAAGAAGUAUCUCGGUAUGUAAACUUCUAUCAGCAGGGAAGAAAAUGACGGUACCUGACUAAGAAGCCCCGGCUAACUACGUGCCACAGCCGCGGUAAUCUGAGCGGGCUGGCAAGGC